GCAUUAAAAAAAUGUUUAUAUUAUCUCCAAGAGGCAGUACCAUUUCGUAUAAAGAAAAUCCAUGUCUUAAAUGCGCCAUCCAUAAUAGAAAUAUUAAUGAACACAAUAAAAUCUUUUUUGAAGAAAGAAGUGAUGGACAUAAUAUAUUUUCAUUCAUCGUUAAAGAGCAUUUCCGAAUAUAUCCCAGUGGAUUCGUUGCCAAACGAAGCGGGUGGAAAAGCGGGUUCAAUACAC